GACGAACGCUGGCGGCGUGCCUAAUACAUGCCAGUAGAACGCUGAAGGAGGAGCUUGCUUCUCUGGAUGAGUUGCGAACGGGUGAGUAACGCGUAGGUAACCUGCCUGGUAGCGGGGGAUAACUAUUGGAAACGAUAGCUAAUACCGCAUAAGAUUGACUAUUGCAUGAUAGUCAGUUAAAAGGUGCAAUUGCAUCACUACCAGAUGGACCUGCGUUGUAUUAGCUAGUUGGUGGGGUAACGGCUCACCAAGGCGACGAUACAUAGCCGACCUGAGAGGGUGAUCGGCCACACUGGGACUGAGACACGGCCCAGACUCCUACGGGAGGCAGCAGCAGGGAAGCUUCGGCAAUGGACGGAAGUCUGACCGAGCAACGCCGCGUGAGUGAAGAAGGGUUUCGGAUCGUAAAGCUCUGUUGUAAGAGAAGAACGAGUGUGAGAGUGGAAAGUUCACACUGUGACGGUAUCUUACCAGAAAGGGACGGCUAACUACGUG
rnacentral:rRNA from 1 species